UAAAGGUAAAAAAAAGUAAUUACAGAAAAAAAGAAUUUAAAAAAAAUAUUUUAGUGUUAUCAGAAAACACUAGACCCUAAAUCCUAAUCUCUAAACCCUAAAUCUGAAACCCUAAACCCUUGGGUAAAUCCUAAACCUUUGGAUAAAUCAUAAACUCUAAAUCAAAAACACUAAACACUACCCUAAACCCUAAACCGUAAAUCCUAAACCCUAA
rnacentral:lncRNA from 1 species